rnacentral:tRNA from 1 species
GAGCCGCUAGCUCAGUCGGUCAGAGCACCGGCCUUUUAAGCCGGGAGUCCUGGGUUCGAAUCCCAGGCGGCUCA